GAUGAACGCUGGCGGCGUGCCUAAUACAUGCAAGUCGAGCGGACGGACGAGAAGCUUGCUUUUCUGAUGUUAGCGGCGGACGGGUGAGUAACACGUGGAUAACCUACAUAUAAGAAUGGGAUAACUUCGGGAAACCGGAGCUAAUAGCGGAUAAUAUUUUGAACCGCAGGGUUCAAAAGUGAAAGACGGUCUUGCUGGCACUUAUAGAUGGAACCUCGCUGCUUUAGAGAAUUGGUAAGGUAAAGGCUUACCAAGGCAACGAUGCAUAGCCGACCUGAGAGGGGGGUCGGCCCCACUGGAACUGAGACACGGUCCAGACUCCUACGGGAGGCAGCAGUAGAGAAUCUUCCGCAAUGGGCGAAAGCCUGACGGAGCAACGCCGCGUGAGUUAUGAAGGUCUUCGGAUCGUAAAACUCUGUUAUUAGGGAAGAACAUAUGUGUAAGUAACUGUGCACAUCUUGACGGUACCUAAUCAGAAAGCCACGGCUAACUACGUG
rnacentral:rRNA from 1 species